rnacentral:rRNA from 1 species
AGUUGGUGGAGUGAUUUGUCUGGUUAAUUCCGUUAACGAACGAGACCUCCGCCUGCUAAAUAGUGACACUCUUGCAUGCAAGGGUGGUUUUAUCUUCUUAGAGGGACACUCGGUUUUUAGCCGAGGGAAGUUGGAGGCAAUAACAGGU